CUGGCUUUGCAGGUUUGGUGGGUGGGGUCAGCCUCUCUCUGGGGCGCAGUUUUGAACAGGGUACGUGGGAGCCGCUCAUUCCACAGCCAGGUGCGGGGCUGAGUAGGCACUUGUUCGACGGGUCUGCAGAGCAGAGGCACCAACCCAGAGGCGGACGGCGGUGGUUCAAGAUGGAGAAGCUGCUGUGCUCCGCAGGGUCGCUCAGGGACCCAGGUUUCCUCUGUGCUGUCGCUGUCCCUCAUCUCCUACUGUUAUCCUCUCCCGCACGGCUGCAGCUGGGACAGCAUCUCAUCUGUGUCCCAGUGCGAAAAGGGGCGAGUUCAGCGAAGCCCAUGCCCAGGGUUCUAUGGCCAAGGCUUAGAAGUUGAACACAUCACUUCCACUCGCAGACCGUUGCCUGGAAUUAAAUCUCAAGGAUACAUCUAGCUGCAAGGAAUGCUGGGAAAUGUAGUCUUCAGCUAAAGCACAUGUCCUAAUCUAACACUCAAUAAUUAUAGAGGAAGGGGAGAAGAUAUCUGGAGGCAUAACUAGCAAAUUAUCACAUUCUUUUUUCUGGCUUUAGUUUUCCCAAAACGGGUGUCACUAAAGACAUUAUGCUGGGUGCUCCAGGGGUGGGGAGAGGUGACAAGCAGUAAGACGCAGAGGAGGGAGUCUGCGGUGGGAGGAGGAGCCUGUCCACUGCCCUGCUGCUGGGUAAUAAAGCGCCCGAAGGCUGUGUUCAACAGUGA